UGGUUGUCAGAAACUGUGAUGUGCUGUGUGUU
rnacentral:piRNA from 1 species